rnacentral:rRNA from 1 species
UACGUAGGUGGCAAGCGUUGUCCGGAAUUAUUGGGCGUAAAGCGCGCGCAGGCGGUCCUUUAAGUCUGAUGUGAAAGCCCACGGCUCAACCGUGGAGGGUCAUUGGAAACUGGGGGACUUGAGUGCAGAAGAGGAGAGUGGAAUUCCUGGUGUAGCGGUGAAAUGCGUAGAUAUCAGGAGGAACACCGGUGGCGAAGGCGGCUCUCUGGACGGUGACUGACGCUGAGACGCGAAAGCGUGGGGAGCAAACAGG